GAUGAACGCUGGCGGCGUGCCUAAUACAUGCAAGUCGAGCGAACAGACGAGGAGCUUGCUCCUCUGACGUUAGCGGCGGACGGGUGAGUAACACGUGGAUAACCUACCUAUAAGACUGGGAUAACUUCGGGAAACCGGAGCUAAUACCGGAUAAUAUAUUGAACCGCAUGGUUCAAUAGUGAAAGACGGUUUUGCUGUCACUUAUAGAUGGAUCCGCGCCGCAUUAGCUAGUUGGUAAGGUAACGGCUUACCAAGGCAACGAUGCGUAGCCGACCUGAGAGGGUGAUCGGCCACACUGGAACUGAGACACGGUCCAGACUCCUACGGGAGGCAGCAGUAGGGAAUCUUCCGCAAUGGGCGAAAGCCUGACGGAGCAACGCCGCGGGAGUGAUGAAGGUCUUCGGAUCGUAAAACUCUGUUAUUAGGGAAGAACAAAUGUGUAAGUAACUAUGCACGUCUUGACGGUACCUAUCAGAAAGCCACGGCUAACUACGUG
rnacentral:rRNA from 1 species